rnacentral:rRNA from 1 species
UUNUGGUGGANNAUGUGGUUUAAUUCGAAGCAACGCGAAGAACCUUACCAGGUCUUGACAUCCUUUGACCACUCGAGAGAUCGAGCUUUCCCUUCGGGGACAAAGUGACAGGUGGUGCAUGGUUGUCGUCAGCUCGUGUCGUGAGAUGUUGGGUUAAGUCCCGCAACGAGCGCAACCCUUAUUACUAGUUGCCAGCAUUCAGUUGGGCACUCUAGUGAGACUGCCGGUGACAAACCGGAGGAAGGUGGGGAUGACGUCAAAUCAUCAUGCCCCUUAUGACCUGGGCUACACACGUGCUACAAUGGAUGGUACAACGAGUCGCGAAGUCGUGAGGCCAAGCUAAUCUCUUAAAGCCAUUCUCAGUUCGGAUUGUAGGCUGCAACUCGCCUACANGAAGCCGGAAUC